UACGUAGGGGGCAAGCGUUGUCCGGAAUUAUUGGGCGUAAAGCGCGUGUAGGCGGUCCGCUAAGUCGGCUGUGAAAGUCCAGGGCUCAACCCUGGGAUGCCGGUCGAUACUGGCGGACUAGAGUCCGGAAGAGGCGAGUGGAAUUCCAGGUGUAGCGGUGAAAUGCGUAGAUAUCUGGAGGAACACCGGUGGCGAAGGCGGCAUUCUGGACCAUAACUGACACUGAGAGACGAAAGCCAGGGGAGCAAACGGG
rnacentral:rRNA from 1 species